UACGUAGGGUGCGAGCGUUUGUCCGGAAUUAUUGGGCGUAAAGGGCUCGUAGGCGGUCGUGUCGCGUCGGGAGUGAAAACACCGGGCUUAACUCGGUGCUUGCUUCCGAUACGGGCAGACUAGAGGUAUGCAGGGAGAACGGAAUUCCUGGUGUAGCGGUGAAAUGCGCAGAUAUCAGGAGGAACACCGGUGGUGUAGACGGCUCACUGGACCGUAACUGACGCUGAGACACGAAAGCGUGGGUAGCAAACAGG
rnacentral:rRNA from 1 species